rnacentral:tRNA from 1 species
GCCUUGCUAGCUCAAUCUGUAGAGCAUGAGACUCCUAAUCUCAAGGUUGGGGGUUCGACCACCCCCGUAGGACU